GGGGUAGCACCGGUUUCGAUUGCCGGUGCGCGGAAGAAUAAGCACGCAGAGGAACGAGUGGCCUCUAUAAAACAUUCGGCUUAAACUUAAAUGCAGAUAACAAUGCAAACUACAACGCUCCUGUAGCGUUGGCUGCCUAAUUAACAGUUAAGCAGUUCGUCUGCCCCUCUUCCCCGCCGGGAGGGAGCGGGCGUCAAAAAAGGCGGGGUACGGCCGCGGCGAUGUGAAGUCGGCGCCGCGGCGGAACUAAGAUUUCUGCGGAUAGGCUCUUUCGGUCGCAGAGGGGCAUAUUUUAAGACAAUUGCGGCAUAAGCGUGUAGAAAGUUCUUUGGCAAUCCGGUAAGACGCGAGUUCAACUCUCGCCUACUCCACCA
rnacentral:tmRNA from 1 species